GCAGAAUUAAAAAUUGCGCACAUUCUUACCCCCACAGGGGAAAAUGUGAUUAAACCACUAUACAAAAGCCAAGAAUACUACAAGCAAUUAUAUAUCCUUCACCUAGCUAAAGACACACCUCAACCAACAUAAAUUGAUUUAGCUAAAAUUAAUACCAGAACAUGUAACACAAAUUUCUCAACCGAUCUCUCCUGAGGAAGUCAACAUGAAAAUACGUAACCUGCCAUACAACAAGGCACCAGGAC